rnacentral:rRNA from 1 species
UGGGGAAUAUUGCACAAUGGGCGCAAGCCUGAUGCAGCCAUGCCGCGUGUGUGAAGAAGGCCUUCGGGUUGUAAAGCACUUUCAGCGGGGAGGAAGGCGAUAAGGUUAAUAACCUUGUCGAUUGACGUUACCCGCAGAAGAAGCACCGGCUAACUCCGUGCCAGCAGCCGCGGUAAUACGGAGGGUGCAAGCGUUAAUCGGAAUUACUGGGCGUAAAGCGCACGCAGGCGGUCUGUCAAGUCGGAUGUGAAAUCCCCGGGCUUAACCUGGGAACUGCAUUCGAAACUGGCAGGCUAGAGUCGUGUAGAGGGGGGUAGAAUUCCAGGUGUAGCGGUGGAAUGCGUAGAGAUCUGGAGGAAGACCGGUGGCGAAGGCGGCCCCCUGGACAAAGACUGACGCUCAGGUGCGAAAGCGUGGGGAGCAAACAGG